AAUGGCUAUCGCUGUAUUUGUCCACCUGGCUAUGCAGGCAAUCACUGUGAAAGAGACACCGAUGAAUGUGCUGGCAACCCCUGCUUGAAAUGGUUUCUCUGUCAGAAUGAUAUCAACAGAUUCCAGUGUCUGUGUCCUGCUGGUUCCUCUGGAAACCUCUGUCAGCUGGACAUUGAUUACUGCGAGCCCAACCCUUGCCAGAAUGGUGCCCAAUGCUAUAAUCGUGCCAGUGACUACUUCUGCAAGUGCCCUGAGGACUAUGAGGGCAAGAACUGCUCACACCUGAAAGACCAUUCUCGCACGACCCCUGUGAAGAUUUCCUGGUUCCACUGCUGAGCUCUGUUGUAACAGUGGCUUGGGUCUAUUGCUUGGUGACAGCCUUGUUCUGGUGUGUACAGAAGCCGCGGAAGCUCAACAGCCACACUCAAUCUGCCUCCAAGGACAGCACCUCCAACGAUGUAUGGGAACAGCUGAACCAGAUCAAAACCCCCAUUGGAAAUGCUUUUCUUCCUUAAGGUUUCUUGCCAAGGUUCCCAGUGUAACUAUUGGUGUGUUGGGAAUUGUUCUGUAAACCAGGGCAUCCUCAUUCAUGCACCACCCAGGAAAGCAUGGGAGACAUUCUUGCCUUAAGUUCCAGCCCUAUGAAGGCACUGAGGCCAUUUCCCCAUUAUUGCUACUUAUCUUCAUGCUCAAUGUCUUUUAAUUUCUUUUUAAAUCUGAUUGAUUUUACAUGUGGGUUGAUUAUGUGGAGAAAGAGAUUUUACAAUUCUGACAAUUUCCUCUGGGUAAAUCAUUAUCCUUUAUCCUUCAACCAUUGCACUCAGCUUUUCACACUUUGUGGAUAUUUCACAAGGACUUUUCUCCUGGUGUUUAUGCCAGCCUUUUGUUCCUGAGUUUUUCCUCCAGGAAUUUUUUUCAAGGGAAUCUCUUAAUAUUAUUCACCAGGCUUUUUGUUCUAAAUUUCCCCUUUGGACUUUACUUCUGCCUCUUGUACCCAGAGUUUUCUCAUGGAGUCUCGCCAUGAAAACUGGGAAGUCUUCAUUGUCCGGCUCACCAAAUCUCUUUGCACAGGUGCACUCGAGUCCUCUCAGAGCCUGGCUCCAUCUGCGCCCUAGAAGAUGAAGAAAAGAGGACGAUGUGAUACAAUAAAGAAAAGGCUCCUCAUUAUUGCUCUUAAAAAUAAAUACAUGGAUUCUGUUGGGUUUAGAAAGGAAAGAGCAAUCAUCCAGGAAGUGUUUGUGCCAGAGGAAGAAGACUGCACAGCCUAGAAACAAGUACCCAUGGGGGAGUGGUGUGGCCAGAGGAGUUCACGGUGUGACUAAAAUCUGUUAUCAGCCUGUGUGAAGUGGGGUGAUGUCUGUUGUACUGAAUACUUCAGAACUGUCUGUUCUUACUGGGUAGUAAAGAUGGACAGAAAGCUGGAUUUCUGCCACACACAAUAUGAGUUUCCUUAUUGGCAAAGACAUUUAGGAAAUUCCUUUGCAAGUCCUUUCAUGUUUAGGAGCGUUCAGCCUAGGACCCCACUAGAGAUCCUGGAUCAGUGGUUCAGAACCUUCUUAAUGCUAUUAUUACACUUUAAUAUAGUUCUUCAUGUUGUGAUGACCCCUAACCAUAAUGUUGUUUUGUUGCUACUUCAUGCCUUUAAUUUUGCUACUGUUAUGAAUCAUAAUGUAAAUAUAUGAUAUGUAGGAUAUCUGAUGUGCAACCCCCCCCCCAAAAAAAAAGAGUAGUGAACCACAGGUUGAGAACCAAGGCUGUAGAUGCAAGACACAAAUAUGUUCAAAGCCUGGCAAUGAUGCUGAGGAAGUGUGCUUGUUAGUUUUUGUUAUCAGACUGACACAAACUAGAGUCACCUGGAAAGAAGGGCCCUCAAUGAGGAAUUACUUAGGUCAGAUUGACUUUGAGCAUGUCUGAGUAGGAUUUUAUAGUCUGUUAAUUGAGAUGCAAAGACUCAUCCUAAAAUGGGCAGAAUCAUUUCAUUGGGGCCUUGAUUGUGUAAGUGAAGAAUCGAGUAUAGGAAGAGGCAAGUAGGAAGCAUGGGUACAUUUGUUUCUCUCUGCCCUUAACUGUGUUUGCAGUGUGACUAGCUGAGUUCCUACUUGACUUCUGCAAAAUGGACUAUAACCUGGGCCUGUGAACUCAAAUGAAUUCUUUCCCCACUAAGUUGCUCUGCCUGGGAACUUAAUACAUUUAUAAUGCUGAGAUGCCACUCUGUGACACAGGUGUUGGCACCACUCAGAGAGAUGUGAAAGUAAUUCAUCGCAUGUUCAACAUCAGCAUAUUCAUCCCAGAGCAGGAGAUUCUGCUUCCCCUUGAACCCAACCCUGUGUUUUCCCAUCACAGUUUUGUAAAGACAAACACACACCCAUUGACUCCCACAACAUGUAACCCCGUCAACAAACAGCUCCAGAUAGUGUCUUGCUGUAUCAAGUGCUAAUCUUUUAAAUAAAACAA